rnacentral:rRNA from 1 species
ANNGGNNCCAGCCCUCUUUUUUUGGGGGUGGGUUUGAGUGGCGANCGGGUGAGUNUCCACGUGAGNUAACNUGCCCCNUGCUCCNGGGAUAACAGCUUGAAAAGNGAGGCUAAUACGGGGUNNNGCCGNNUGGUCNGCAUGGGCCUGGUNGNGGAUAGUUUCAUCUUCGGGGUGUUUUCGGUGGGGGGAUGGGCUCGCGGCCUAUCAGGNAUGUUGGUGGGGUGAUGNCCCACCAAGGCGGUGACGGGUAGCCGGCCNGAGAGGGUGGGCGGCCACACNGGGACUGAGACACGGCCCAGACUCAUGCGGGAGGCAGCAGUGGGGGGUAUUGCACAAUGGGCGGAAGCCUGAUGCAGCGANNUCGCGUGAGGGAUGGAGGCCUUCGGGUUGUGAACCUCUUUNUCCGGUGGUGAAGGCCCUGUCCGUUGCGGCGGGGUUGACGGUAGCCGGGUAUGAAGCGCCGGCUAACUACGUUCCAGCAGCCGCGGUGAUACGUGGGGCGCGAGCGUUGUCCGGAAUUAUUGGGCGUGAAGGGCUUGUAGGCGNCCGGUCGCGUCCGCCGUGAAAUUCUCCGGCUCAACCGGGGGCUUGCGGUGGGUACGGGCCGGCUGGAGUGCGGUAGGGGAGGCUGGAACUCCUGGUGUAGCGGUGGAAUGCGCAGAUAUCAGGAGGAACACCGGUGGCGAAGGCNGGUCUAUGGGCCGUUACUGACGNUGAGGAGCGAAANCGUGGGGAGGGAACAGG